rfam:Pelodiscus sinensis unplaced genomic scaffold scaffold3682, whole genome shotgun sequence.
UCCCUGGUGGUCUAGUGGUUAGGAUUCAGCACUUUCACUGCUGAGGCCUGGGUUCAAUUCCCAGUCAGGGAA